UUGCGCUGUUCAGUGAGGAUGUUUCACGAAAUUGUUCUUAUUCAUAUCAUAAUGAUUCUGGGAAUUCAAGUGAGGUUAAUACAACUGAUAUUACUAGUUAUUCAUACAAGGAUUUGAGUUCUGAUCAAAUACCGGAAUCUGAAAGAAUACUCCAGUGUUCCAAGGGUUCAAUUAGUACUUCUGUAGGAACAAAUGGAACUGUGGACUCAUCACAGUUGACACAAAAGGAGGAGACUGUUGAAAAAACCAAAAAAGGACAUUAUAAAGAUAAACGAACAUUCUGCUUCUAUUGCGAAAAAGAUGUUUACCAUUUUCCGAGGCAUCUAUCUACAUGGCAUGAAAAUGAAAUAGAAGUACAGCGUAUCUUUUCAUAUGAAAGUAGGUCGAAAGAAAGA